GCCCCUAUGGCGGAAUUGGUAGACGUAGCGGACUUAAAAUCCGUAGCCUCACAAAGGCGUGAAGUUUCGAGACUUCUGGGGGCACCA
rnacentral:tRNA from 1 species